CGGCUUACACAUGCAGUCGAGCGGAGAUGAGGUGCUUGCACCUUAUCUUAGCGGCGGACGGGUGAGUAAUGCUUAGGAAUCUGCCUAUUAGUGGGGGACAACAUUCCGAAAGGAAUGCUAAUACCGCAUACGUCCUACGGGAGAAAGCAGGGGAUCUUCGGACCUUGCGCUAAUAGAUGAGCCUAAGUCGGAUUAGCUAGUUGGUGGGGUAAAGGCCUACCAAGGCGACGAUCUGUAGCGGGUCUGAGAGGAUGAUCCGCCACACUGGGACUGAGACACGGCCCAGACUCCUACGGGAGGCAGCAGUGGGGAAUAUUGGACAAUGGGGGGAACCCUGAUCCAGCCAUGCCGCGUGUGUGAAGAAGGCCUUAUGGUUGUAAAGCACUUUAAGCGAGGAGGAGGCUACUAAGACUAAUACUCUUGGAUAGUGGACGUUACUCGCAGAAUAAGCACCGGCUAACUCUGUGCCAGCAGCCGCGGUAAUACAGAGGGUGCGAGCGUUAAUCGGAUUUACUGGGCAUAAAGCGUGCGUAGGCGGCUUUUUAAGUCGGAUGUGAAAUCCCCGAGCUUAACUUGGGAAUUGCAUUCGAUACUGGGAAGCUAGAGUAUGGGAGAGGAUGGUAGAAUUCCAGGUGUAGCGGUGAAAUGCGUAGAGAUCUGGAGGAAUACCGAUGGCGAAGGCAGCCAUCUGGCCUAAUACUGACGCUGAGGUACGAAAGCAUGGGGAGCAAACAGGAUUAGAUACCCUGGUAGUCCAUGCCGUAAACGAUGUCUACUAGCCGUUGGGGCCUUUGAGGCUUUAGUGGCGCAGCUAACGCGAUAAGUAGACCGCCUGGGGAGUACGGUCGCAAGACUAAAACUCAAAUGAAUUGACGGGGGCCCGCACAAGCGGUGGAGCAUGUGGUUUAAUUCGAUGCAACGCGAGAACCUUACCUGGCCUU
rnacentral:rRNA from 1 species